GACUCGAUGGCGGGAUGGGUCCGCAUCUGCUUAUUUGAUAGAUGAAGGAACCCGAGCUAUAAGCAGAAGGUGCCUGUUCGAAUCAGGCUCGAGUCU